rnacentral:rRNA from 1 species
UACGUAGGUGGCAAGCGUUGUCCGGAAUUAUUGGGCGUAAAGCGCGCGCAGGCGGUCCUUUAAGUCUGAUGUGAAAGCCCACGGCUCAACCGUGGAGGGUCAUUGGAAACUGGGGGACUUGAGUGCAGAAGAGGAGAGCGGAAUUCCACGUGUAGCGGUGAAAUGCGUAGAGAUGUGGAGGAACACCAGUGGCGAAGGCGAGUCCCUGGACAACUCCUGACACUGAGGCACGAAAGCUAGGGGAGCAAACAGG